GGGCGAAUAGCUCAGCUGGCUAGAGCGCCUCGUUUACACCGAGGAGGUCGCGGGUUCAAGCCCUGCUUCGCCCA
rnacentral:tRNA from 1 species